GCGGGAUUAGUUUAAUGGCAGAACGAAAGAUUUCCAAUCUUUCGGCAGGGGUUCGAUUCCCCUAUCCCGCUCAA
rnacentral:tRNA from 7 species